rfam:Triticum aestivum genome assembly, contig: Triticum_aestivum_CS42_TGACv1_scaffold_556405_7AL
CAGAUACUCCCUCCGUUCGGACUUACUUGUCUCGGAAAUGGAUGUAUCUAGAACUAAAAUAUGUCUAGAUACAUCCAUUUCUGCGACAAGUAAUUCCGAACGGAGGGAGUAAGAU